rnacentral:rRNA from 1 species
UGCCCAAGGAUGGGUCUGCGGCCUAUCAGGUAGUAGUGGGUGUAGCGUACNUACUAGCCUACGACGGGUACGGGUUGUGAGAGCAAGAGCCCGGAGAUGGAUUCUGAGACACGAAUCCAGGCCCUACGGGGUGCAGCAGGCGCGAAAACUUUACAAUGCUGGAAACAGCGAUAAGGGAACCUCGAGUGCCAGGUUACAAAUCUGGCUGUCGUGAUGCCUAAAAAGCAUUGCAUAGCAAGGGCCGGGCAAGACCGGUGCCAGCCGCCGCGGUAACACCGGCGGCUCGAGUGGUAACCGUUAUUAUUGGGUCUAAAGGGUCUGUAGCCGGCCGGAUAAGUCUCUUGGGAAAUCUGGCAGCUUAACUGUCAGGCUUUCAGGAGAUACUGUCUGGCUCGAGGCCGGGAGAGGUGAGAGGUACUUCAGGGGUAGGGGUGAAAUCUUGUAAUCCUUGAAGGACCACCAGUGGCGAAGGCGUCUCACCAGAACGGACCUGACGGCAAGGGACGAAAGCUAGGGGCACGAACCGGAUUAGAUACCCGGGUAGUCCUAGCCGUAAACGAUACUCGCUAGGUGUCGGCCACGGUGCGACCGUGGUCGGUGCCGUAGGGAAGCCGUGAAGCGAGCCACCUGGGAAGUACGGCCGCAAGGCUGAAACUUAAAGGAAUUGGCGGGGGAGCAC